rnacentral:tRNA from 1 species
AAGAGAAUAAGAUAUAAAGACGGCUGCUAACUGAUCUUUAAAGCGGUUUAACUCCGUUUUUCUCUUU